GCUGAGCACAAUGUAGGCGCUCUAAGACUAAUGAAAGAAUCAAAUCAGGUGUGUGAGUGAUUCAGCAAGAAGUUGAAUUAGAGCCAGCUGCUUCGUCUGAGUUGGGUUAAGUCAGAGGGGGAGGGUUGAUAUUGGGUAAUCAGAACAAAACGAGCUGGAGGGCCAGCCACCUGCUUAGUCGGAGUAAGAAUGCCUGCAGAGACCUGGACCAGAGUGGGCAGAAUGGAGUCACCAUGAAUAUAUGCACCAAGGGAAUGAACACACAAAUUAAAAGGCUGGAGUAUAGUGGUGCGAUCAUAGCUAGCUGCAGCCUUGAACUCCUCCUCAAGCAAUCCUUCCUCCUUGGCCUCGCAAAGUCCUGGGAUUACAGGCGUGAGCUACUGGGCCUGACCUACAAAAUGUUUUAUGCUUUCGGCCUAAAUAGUGUUCCUUGGAGAGAAAAUUACCCUGGGAAUGAAUAAACAAGAGCAAUGCAAAUGAUAUCCACGACUGUUACAGAUGCUUCGUGGAGGUUCAAAAAGACUACAGAUCAAGGCCAGUGACCUUCUACACAUGGUGGACACUCCAGCCUCUGCUCAAUCUCCAUCCACACUUAAAGGAAAUAGCCAACUCUUGGCCAACCUUCAGGCCUGGGAAGAGGCUCAAGCAGACACUGAAGACGGACUUAAGUGAGUGAAGCUUUGGCAGGACCAUGUCUCUGAAUGUCUCAUUGGAAGGGUUUCAUCACUGUCCCUGAAAGCCUCCUUCAUCAAGAUUUUUUGAAUGUUGUAUUUCCUGAGUUGACUCUGAUUUUCUAAUCUUUGCUUUUCUGAUUUACAUGUCUGUUUGGUUCUAUAUUCCGAGUAAGUAGCUUGCGUUUGUCUUCCAACUCUUCAAAUUAUUGUUGCAUUUGUGCUUUAUCAUUAAAUGCCAAGAAUUCCUUUUAUAAUUGAUGUACUUUUGAGCUGGUCAGUUUUUAUUAAAAAAAAAAUUUAGAAACUUCUGCUCAGAUAAUCUGUGCUUUAGAUGAUUAUAACAUGUCAUUAAUAAUUUUCUGAUUUUUAUGCUUGUAUUGGCCUUAAAGAUAAUGUCCAUGUUAUAGAAAAUACAAAUUGAGUGUUCAGGAAUAAAGGCCUAACACAUCUUCAAU
rnacentral:lncRNA from 10 species